AAAAAAUAAAAAAACAAAUACAACCUCCCACUGCUAAAGUAGUUCCCAGAGUCUGUGCGCUGGGGGCUCAGAAUUUGUUCAGGUGUUAUACAUUUAGUUAAUAAUGCCAGUACACACAACAAAAUGCACAUGUGAAAGUUAUGGUUUAAUUGGAAAGCAUGUAGCAUUACUUAACUAGGCCUCCUGGGUUAUGGUAAGAGAAGCACCAUGUGUGGCUUAGUUUUUUUAAAAAUCGUAAUUAAAAAAAGAGCUAUAGCAAAGUUCAGCCAACUCUCAGAGUCAAUGCUUGGCCUUUCCAGUGGGCGCCAACUAUAUCUUUGAUAAUUAAAUAGAAAACUGGUCUCCCUGCAGCACUAAUGCAGUCACACACUGUUCUCAAGAGAACUUCCUUACCACUCAGCAGCUAUUUGAUUUACAAACUCUUCCGGGUGCAUUUAAUCUAAUUCAUGUUUCUUUUGGCUCUCAGCCAACUUUUUUUUUACCCACAAACUUGAACAGAUACAUUUUCUACCUAUUUAGAAAUGACCUUCUGUUCACCAACAAAAACCUAAUUAAACAAUGGUUCAAUAUGAAAGCUCAGAAGUGGAGCAACAAUCUUGGUCUCCAUUGUUGCCAUCAGCUUAUUGGGUUGGAAUCGCUCGCUAAGGCAUGACUGUUUUUGAGAUAUUUACCACCUGUGGAAUAGGACUUUUAUCAGCAGUAUUGGUGAGUUCUGUUAUCUCAUUAUUUCAUGGCACUGCCCCCUUGCCAUUCUCUUGAUUCCUCUUCUCAGGAAUAUUCCAAGAAAUGUCUCUCAUGAUCAAAACCAGCAUUGAUUAGAAUAACAGAGUGGAGGCUUGGAGUGAUGUUUCCCAUUUUCUCCCCUCUUCUCAAGGUGAUAGAGUCUAUAUCUCAUUUCAAUAAGUGAAACUGAUGUGUCUCAAUUUCCUGGAAUAAGAAUGAGGGACCUACUAAAUGCAUUUCUGGAAAUAGGAAAUGCAUCUUUCGAGAACUAGAUGCAGUCUUAGUGAAUCCCACAUUUGGACAGCAAUUUUAACCUAGCCAACCCUUUCUAAUUUGGGGGGGAAAUUCUUUAUUAGGUAGUUGUUCUAAAUACAACUUGUGGACCUAUGAACUUCCUCAAGUAUCUCUGGUUUGGUAAGGAACAAAAAUUGAAAAAAAAAACUAUAAAGUGGUAGAUGAUUAUUAGAAGAUGACAGAUGUGGACUUUUUUUUCCCGUUCUGUUAGUAAGAAAUUAUACUGAUAUUCAUUUACUUUCAGCAGUUUUCUAUAGCCUUCACAUAUAUCAGGAGUGCUGUUCCUUUUGCCUAAAGAUUUCAAAAAGUUCUCUAACAUUCACAGACUUUCACAAGACUCCUGAUGUAAAUAAGAGCAAAUCUAUUAAAUAGAUAUGAGGACAGCUAGGUGGCACAGUGGAUAAAGUGCCUGGCCUAGAUUCAGGAGAAUCUGAGUUCAAAUUUGACCUCAGAUAUUUAUUAGCUGUGUGACUCUGGGAAAAUCACUUUCCCAGUUUGCCUUCGUUUCCUCAUCUGUAAAGUGAGUUGGAGGAGGAAAUUGCAAACCACUCCAGUUAUCUUUGCCAACAAAACCUCAGAGACAACUGAACAGCAACAGCAAAUUAGAUAUAUGUAUAGAUAUGUAUGCCAAGGUACAAAGCAGGGGCUGGGAAACAGAUUUAGCCUAGGCACUCUGAGGUCAUUUAGGUCAGUCACCUCAUUUCCUUUUUUUUAAAAAAUUUUAUUAAUUUAUUUUGAUUUAUCAAAAAUCAAUUCCAUAUGCUUUUAAGUUGAAAUUUUUUCUCCCCCUUCCUCCCCCCCCACCCUCCCCAAGAUGGCAUACAAUCUGAUAUAGGCUUUACAUUUACAUACCCAUUAAACAUAUUUUUACAUUAGUGAAGUUGUAAGUAAAAAUUAAAACCAAUAGGAGGGACCAUCAGAAACAUGAAACAAAACUCAACAGAAGGUAAAAAUAAGUGAUAGCGAUUCGACUUCCAUAGUUCUUUCUUUGGAUGGGGAAAGCAUUUUCCAUCCCGAGGCCUCUGGAGAUGUCUUAGAUCUUUGUAAUGCUGAGAAGGGUUCAGUUUAACAAUCUUAGUCAUUGCAUAACGUGGCUAUUAUUGUGUACAAAGUCCGCUUGGUUCUGCUUACUUCACUCAGCAUCAGACCAUAUAAGUCUUUCCAGGUUUUUCUGAAGUCAGCCUGUUCAUCAUUUAUUAUAGCACAAUAGUAUUCCAUUACAUUCAUAUACCACAACUUGCUCAGCCAUUCCCCAGUUGAUGGGCAUCCUCUCAGUUCCCAAUUCUUUGCCAUCACAAAAAGAGCUGCUAUGAAUAUUUUUGUACAUGUGGGUCCUUUUCCCAUUUGUUUGAACUCUUUGGGAUAUAGCCCUAAAAGUGCUAUUGCUGGAUCAAAGGGUAUACACAUUUUUGUAGCCCUUUGGGCAUAAUUCUAAAUUGUUCUCCAAAAUGGUUGGAUCAUUUCUCAACUCCACCAACAAUGUAUUAGAGUCACCUCAUUUCCAAGGUGAGAAACUAAAACCCAGAGUUGUUAAGUAAUUUGACCAAAGUCACAUGGGUAGUCAAGAAUUGAACUAGGAUUUAAACUGUGUUCCUAUGACUCCAAAUCCAGCAUUCCUUUCAUUGUACUACAAUGAGUGCUUACUUAGAUUGAUCACUUAAAAAGGAAGAAAAACAUCGGAUUCUUUCAAUCCAUUUCCCUAAUUUAACCAUAAAGUCCUUUCAAACACAUGCAUCUACAAAACUGGUUGAUUUGCAAUUGAUCUCAAACAUGUUCCAUCUUUCAAGGCUCAACUCAAAUGAUAUAUGCUGAAUGAAGUGUUUUGUUUUGCUCCUCAUUCAAAGUAAUCUUGUCCUCCUCUGAACAUAACAGGUUUUAAAGCUCUCUUAUUUUUCUGCACUAAAUUUUGCAUCAUAAUUAUUUGUGUAUAUUUCAUCUCACAUAAAUAAGACAUGGGAUUCAUUGUACAAGCACAGCUCAGGUUGGAAGAAAUGGGAAGAAAGAAAGAAAUCCCAAUAAAAGAAGGUGUUUAAAGUGAAAUUAUCCCUUC
rnacentral:lncRNA from 1 species